AUGAACGCUGGCGGCGUGCCUAACACAUGCAAGUCGAACGAAGCAAUUAAGAGGAAGUUUUCGGAUGGAAUCUUGAUUGACUGAGUGGCGGACGGGUGAGUAACGCGUGGAUAACCUGCCUCACACUGGGGGAUAACAGUUAGAAAUGACUGCUAAUACCGCAUAAGCGCACGCUACCGCAUGGUAGAGUGUGAAAAACUCCGGUGGUGUGAGAUGGAUCCGCGUCUGAUUAGCCAGUUGGCGGGGUAACGGCCCACCAAAGCGACGAUCAGUAGCCGACCUGAGAGGGUGACCGGCCACAUUGGGACUGAGACACGGCCCAAACUCCUACGGGAGGCAGCAGUGGGGAAUAUUGCACAAUGGGCGAAAGCCUGAUGCAGCGACGCCGCGUGAGUGAAGAAGUAUUUCGGUAUGUAAAGCUCUAUCAGCAGGGAAGAAAAUGACGGUACCUGACUAAGAAGCCCCGGCUAACUACGUGCCAGCAGCCGCGGUAAUACGUAGGGGGCAAGCGUUAUCCGGAUUUACUGGGUGUAAAGGGAGCGUAGACGGCGAAGCAAGUCUGAAGUGAAAACCCAGGGCUCAACCCUGGGAGUGCUUUGGAAACUGUUUUGCUAGAGUGUCGGAGAGGUAAGUGGAAUUCCUAGUGUAGCGGUGAAAUGCGUAGAUAUUAGGAGGAACACCAGUGGCGAAGGCGGCUUACUGGACGAUAACUGACGUUGAGGCUCGAAAGCGUGGGGAGCAAACAGGAUUAGAUACCCUGGUAGUCCACGCCGUAAACGAUGUCGACUUGGAGGUUGUGCCCUUGAGGCGUGGCUUCCGGAGCUAACGCGUUAAGUCGACCGCCUGGGGAGUACGGCCGCAAGGUUGAAACUCAAAGGAAUUGACGGGGGCCCGCACAAGCAGCGGAGCAUGUGGUUUAAUUCGACGCAACGCGAAGAACCUUACCAAGUCUUGACAUCCUCUUGACCGGCGUGUAAAGCCCCCUUCCCUGCGGGGUAAGAGAGACAGGUGGUGCAUGGUUGUCGUCAGCUCGUGUCGUGAGAUGUUGGGUUAAGUCCCGCAACGAGCGCAACCCUUAUCCUUAGUAGCCAGCAGGUAGAGCUGGGCACUCUAGGGAGACUGCCAGGGAUAACCUGGAGGAAGGUGGGGAUGACGUCAAAUCAUCAUGCCCCUUAUGAUUUGGGCUACACACGUGCUACAAUGGCGUAAACAAAGGGAAGCAAGACAGUGAUGUGGAGCAAAUCCCAAAAAUAACGUCCCAGUUCGGACUGUAGUCUGCAACCCGACUACACGAAGCUGGAAUCGCUAGUAAUCGCGAAUCAGAAUGUCGCGGUGAAUACGUUCCCGGGUCUUGUACACACCGCCCGUCACACCAUGGGAGUCAGCAACGCCCGAAGUCAGUGACCCAACCGAAAGGAGGGAGCUGCCGAAGGCGGGGCAGGUAACUGGGGUG
rnacentral:rRNA from 1 species